GACGAACGCUGGCGGCGUGCUUAACACAUGCAAGUCGAACGAUGAAGAAGAGCUUGCUCUUCGGAUUAGUGGCGAACGGGUGAGUAACACGUGACUAACCUGCCCCUUUCUCUGGGAUAACGCUCCGAAAGGAGUGCUAAUACCGGAUACUCACAUCGAGGCACAUGCCUUGAUGUGGAAAGUUUUUCGGAAAGGGAUGGAGUCGCGGCCUAUCAGCUUGUUGGUGAGGUAACGGCUCACCAAGGCGACGACGGGUAGCCGGCCUGAGAGGGCGACCGGCCACACUGGGUCUGAGACACGGCCCAGACUCCUACGGGAGGCAGCAGUGGGGAAUAUUGCACAAUGGGCGAAAGCCUGAUGCAGCGACGCCGCGUGAGGGAUGAAGGUCUUCGGAUUGUAAACCUCUUUCAGUAGGGACGAAGCGAAAGUGACGGUACCUAAAGAAGAGGCACCGGCUAACUACGUGCCAGCAGCCGCAGUAA
rnacentral:rRNA from 1 species